rnacentral:rRNA from 1 species
GAGAAGCCUUCGGGCUGAAACCGGCGCACGGGUGCGUAACGCGUAUACAAUCUGCCUUUCACAUAGGGAUAGCCCGAAGAAAUUUGGAUUAAUACCUAAUGGUAUAUAGGAGCGGCAUCGUUUUUAUAUUAAAGCUACGGUGGUGAAAGAUGAGUAUGCGUUCUAUUAGCUAGUUGGAGAGGUAACGGCUCCCCAAGGCGACGAUAGAUAGGGGUUCUGAGAGGGAUGUCCCCCACACUGGUACUGAGAUACGGACCAGACUCCUACGGGAGGCAGCAGUGAGGAAUAUUGGACAAUGGUCGGAAGACUGAUCCAGCCAUGCCGCGUGCAGGAUGAAGGUCCUAUGGAUUGUAAACUGCUUUUGUAAGGGAAGAAUAAGGGGUACGUGUACUUUGAUGACGGUACCUUACGAAUAAGCAUCGGCUAACUCCGUGCCAGCAGCCGCGGUAAUACGGAGGAUGCGAGCGUUAUCCGGAAUCAUUGGGUUUAAAGGGUCCGUAGGCGGGCUAAUAAGUCAGAGGUGAAAGCGUUCAGCUCAACUGAGCAACUGCCUUUGAAACUGUUAGUCUUGAAUGAUUGUGAAGUAGUUGGAAUGUGUAGUGUAGCGGUGAAAUGCUUAGAUAUUACACAGAACACCGAUAGCGAAGGCAUAUUACUAACAAUUUAUUGACGCUGAUGGACGAAAGCGUGGGGAGCGAACAGGAUUAGAUACCCUGGUAGUCCACGCUGUAAACGAUGGAUACUAGCUGUUUGGAGCAAUCCGAGUGGCUAAGCGAAAGUGAUAAGUAUCCCACCUGGAGUACG